UACGAAGGGGGCUAGCGUUGUUCGGAAUUACUGGGCGUAAAGCGUACGUAGGCGGGUUAUUAAGUCUGGGGUGAAAUCCCAGAGCUCAACUCUGGAACUGCCUUUGAUACUGGUAAUCUCGAGUUCGGAAGAGGUGAGUGGAAUUCCCAGUGUAGAGGUGAAAUUCGUAGAUAUUGGGAAGAACACCGGUGGCGAAGGCGGCGCGCUGGUCCGAUACUGACGCUGAGGUGCGAAAGCGGGGGGAGCAAACAGG
rnacentral:rRNA from 1 species